rnacentral:sRNA from 1 species
AUCGCUUUCCUGGAAAACCUCCAACUUAUGUCACAGAUAAUGGCUAUGAAGACAAGAGCUUAAGGGACAAUGAAGACAGACCUGCAAAGGGUUAAUUACA